rfam:Stegodyphus mimosarum contig38502, whole genome shotgun sequence.
GGAUCCAUGGUGUAACGGUUAGCACUCUGAAAUUUGAAUCCAGCGAUCCGAGUUCAAAUCUCGGUGAAACCU